UGGACAUUUACUUUAUUCAGUUUCUUCUUCAGGUGAAGAAAACUCUUUGUAAAUAUCCUAGAGAAAUAUAGUAGCUUUCUGUUCACACUUUGCAAGUAAAAGGGUGGAUAGUUCCACUACUAACAUAU
rnacentral:snoRNA from 1 species